AGUCCAGGUAAUGGAGCAGAGACUGGAGCAGAGACAAGUUGUUCCCACUGAGCUCUCCUCAGAUUACAGAUUGGUCUGAUUAUAAAAGGAGAAUUGGAGGCUUACCAAACAUCUGAAGAGCUUUCCAGAAGUUUGGUCACUUCUGAAUUAGAGAAGUUAAAACCCAAUCACCUACUAAUGCUGUGGGAAAGUUCUGCAGGUGAUACAUCACAGGGGCUCAUGAAUGUGUCUUAAGCUGGGUCAUUGAAGUGGAAUGUUUUCACAAGACCUCCUCCACUUGCUACUGUGUCCGGAAUUGGUGGGUUCUUGGUCUCACUGACUUCAAGAAUGAAGCCGCGGACCCUCGCGGGAGUGGCAAAUCAAAGGCAUUGCAGCCUCUUUCAUCACUGCCGAUUGCUGAUGCCAACCAUGUGCCAAGUGCUUAAUACGUCACCUUAAAUCUUCUCAUCCACCCUCAGAGUAGCUGCAGCAUCAACCCAGUGCCCUGACUUUCAAGACGACUAUGAAAACACCCCAACUGCUGCUAAAUUACCAGCAACAAGGAUCUGGAAUUUUCCUGACAAGAGCAGUGCCUAUCCUGAGGCAAUCGUAUUUCUCCUUGACUUCUCUCCAGUAUCAGCUUGUUGCUUGACACCCCUGCACAGCCAACUGUGUAAUGUGGGUGAGUCUAGCUGCAUUUUCUUCAGACACAAGCCUGGCUACCCAGUGCUAAGGUGACAUCAGGCCAGGCCACAACAUUCUUAUUCAAAAGAAAGAACACCGAAAUUGACCUUACCCUGACAAUAUGAUGGCUGAAGGAUUUAUGAUCACUUAUAACAUUUGAAAUUGAGGCGGAACCUGAAGAAUAAGACUCUGGUGAAAGGUCCUAUUUAUGCUUUUGAUGUCUUUCACUUGGACAUUUACCACAUGCCUAUUGGUAGGUUUGUUACAUAGGUCAGUUAAGGUGAUACAAGAAUAAAUAAAACACUAUCCCUAUCCUUUAAUAUCAUUUAUUUAUGGGGUCAAUCACAGAUUUUCAUUUUUCAAAAUCUUUGAUAAAUGUCAGAAUUAUGUUUUUUAAUAUUUUUACAGAAUUAUUACAAUAUAUGGUAGAGGAUGGAAGGCAAGGUAGUAUGAAACGGAAAAGAUAUUUUGAAUUAAGGUAUUUGGACCUGGAUUAAUAUUUUUGCUUUGGUCUUUAUUAGCUGAGUGACCUUGAGAAAGUUCUUCUACUAAAAAAGAACAAAGAUAAUAAUUACUUCAUGAAAUUGCUGUAAAAAACACAUAACAAGUAUAUCCAGACUCAACAGUGUAUGCUCAAAAAUGCAGAUCCUUUUUCCCUUACCUGCAAAUAAAGUCUUACAGUAAUACAGUGGGGGUAAAGGUUUAAACUGGUGGAUUCAAGAAGGGCUAUAGAAAGAGGUAGCAUCUUAAUAGGGGAAGGAGAGGAUCCAAGAAAUCAGAUCCAUUUUCUACAAAAAGAAAUGGGAAGACAGAUAAUUCAAGAAGAAAA
rnacentral:lncRNA from 1 species